CAAUUUGUUCGACGGAUAAGUAUCCUAACGGGCUUUUUAGGUCGUCGACAUAUUUUUAAGAGGAGUGCUGUUAAUGGCCCGUAUCGCUGGCAUUAACAUUCCUGAG
rfam:Aestuariibacter aggregatus strain CGMCC 1.8995 genome assembly, contig: Ga0079874_109